AGGGAUCUGGGCAGGGGUGGGUGACCAGGCAGAUCUUUGGGUCUCGGAGGUCCCAAAGCUGCUGAGUUGGGAUCCCGUGCCAGGCUUGGGGGACAGGCUCCCCCCAGGGCUGACUGUGCACAGGUCCUUGCCGAGAAGACAGAGCUGCCUGAGGUGGUGCCUCCUGCGAGUGUGGAGAUGUGAUAGGAAGGGUAGGGGCGGCGAAGUGAGGCCAGGGUGUCGAUAAAACUAUCAUACUCGACGGGAACUUGAGAUCAACAGAGCAGUGCUGUCCCCUUGCAUGAAAAUCAAAGGGCCAAAUUCACAUGCAGGGAUGGGGCUGACAAAAUGAGUCUUGCUAGUGACUGUGCCAAUAGCUAAGCUCCUCACUGGCAGGACUUCCAGUGGUCCUGAGGGUGGAAUGAGGUCCUGGCUCUGGCUAACCCCAGAGAGGGGUGCCCCCCCCACCAGCCCCGGGGGAGUGGGAAGCUAGGUGAAAGAACCCACCCUGGCAGCUCUUUCUCUGAACGCUCAGCUGGGAGAGGUGAAGGGGCAGCACUAGUGCCUGGUGGUAGGAAGGGGCCAGUGGUGAGUGUGGGCUCUGGAUGAGAAGCCCAGUGGGGUAGCGAGAGAUGGGAAGAGGAGAUAGUGAGGGUCAGGAAGGGGAGAGAGGGGGCGGGGGGAUGGGACACAGGGCCACAGGGCAGGGAACUGUGUCCAUAAGAAUCAGGCGAUGGGGAGCGCUCGAUUACAAAGUAGUAUUUGUUUGG
rnacentral:lncRNA from 1 species